rnacentral:rRNA from 1 species
UAGUGAGUUUGACCUGGCUCAGGAUGAACGCUAGCGGCAGGCUUAAUACAUGCAAGUCGAGGGGGCAGCAAUGUCACCGGCGAACGGGUGCGUAACGCGUAUGCAACCUACCUACAUCAGGGGGAUAGCCCUAGGAAACUGGGAUUAACACCGCAUAAUAUAUUUAACGGCAUCGUUGAAUAUUGAAAUAUUUAUAGGAUGUAGAUGGGCAUGCGUAGGAUUAGCUAGUUGGUAAGGUAACGGCUUACCAAGGCUACGAUCCGUUA